rnacentral:rRNA from 1 species
AGCAGCCGCGGUAAUUCCAGCUCCAAUAGCGUAUAUUAAAGUUGUUGCAGUUAAAAAGCUCGUAGUUGAAUUUCGGGAUCAGUUGGUCGGUCGUGCCUCGGUACGUACUGGUCAAAUUGAUUCCUACCUUCUGACGAACCACGAUGUCAUUAAUUUGGUGUCGCGGGAAAUCAGGACUGUUACUUUGAAAAAAUUAGAGUGUUUAAAGCAGGCUCGCACUUGAAUACAUUAGCAUGGAAUAAUGAAAUAGGACGCUUGAUUCUAUUUUGUUGGUUUCUAGGAUCGACGUAAUGAUUAAUAGGGAUAGUUGGGGGCAUUAGUAUUCAAUUGUCAGAGGUGAAAUUCUUGGAUUUAUUGAAGACUAACUACUGCGAAAGCAUUUGCCAAGGAUGUUUUCAUUAAUCAAGAACGAAAGUUAGGGGAUCGAAGACGAUCAGAUACCGUCGUAGUCUUAACCAUAAACUAUGCCGACUAGGGAUCGGAUGAUGUUAAUUUUUAAUGUACUCAUUCGGCGCCUUAA